UUUCCAGAGAUGGAUUGGUGCCUUCGGGAACCGUGAGACAGGUGCUGCAUGGCUGUCGUCAGCUCGUGUUGUGAAAUGUUGGGUUAAGUCCCGCAACGAGCGCAACCCUUAUCCUUUGUUGCCAGCGGUCCGGCCGGGAACUCAAAGGAGACUGCCAGUGAUAAACUGGAGGAAGGUGGGGAUGACGUCAAGUCAUCAUGGCCCUUACGACCAGGGCUACACACGUGCUACAAUGGCGCAUACAAAGAGAAGCGACCUCGCGAGAGCAAGCGGACCUCAUAAAGUGCGUCGUAGUCCGGAUUGGAGUCUGCAACUCGACUCCAUGAAGUCGGAAUCGCUAGUAAUCGUGGAUCAGAAUGCCACGGUGAAUACGUUCCCGGGCCUUGUACACACCGCCCGUCACACCAUGGGAGUGGGUUGCAAAAGAAGUAGGUAGCUUAACCUUCGGGAGGGCGCUUACCACUUUGUGAUUCAUGACUGGGGUGAAGUCGUAACAAGGUAACCGUAGGGGAACCUGCGGUUGGAUCACCUCCUUA
rnacentral:rRNA from 2 species